rnacentral:rRNA from 1 species
AGGGUGUAAACGCUGCAGACUUGGUGUUGGAGGCCCUUUGGGGGCAUUCAGUGCCGGAGAGAAGUUGUUAAGUCUGCUACUUGGGGAGUACGUCCGCAAGGAUGAAACUUAAAGGAAUUGGCGGGGGAGGCACCGCAACGGGAGGAGCGUGCGGUUUAAUUGGAUUCAACACCGUAAACUCACCAGGGAAGACUGUUACAUGAAGGCCGAGAUGAAGACUCUGCUAGAUUUUCAGAGAGGAGGUGCAUGGCGUCAGUGACU